rnacentral:rRNA from 1 species
UAGAGUUUGAUUCUGGCUCAGAUUGAACGCUGGCGGCAUGCCUUACACAUGCAAGUCGAACGGAAACGCGGGGCAACCUGGCGACGAGUGGCGAACGGGUGAGUAAUAUAUCGGAACGUGCCCAGUCGUGGGGGAUAACGCAGCGAAAGCUGUGCUAAUACCGCAUACGAUCUAUGGAUGAAAGCGGGGGAUCGCAAGACCUCGCGCUGAUUGAGCGGCCGAUAUCAGAUUAGCUAGUUGGUGAGGUAAAGGCUCACCAAGGCGACGAUCUGUAGCGGGUCUGAGAGGAUGAUCCGCCACACUGGAACUGAGACACGGUCCAGACUCCUACGGGAGGCAGCAGUGGGGAAUUUUGGACAAUGGGCGCAAGCCUGAUCCAGCCAUGCCGCGUGAGUGAAGAAGGCCUUCGGGUUGUAAAGCUCUUUCAGCCGGGAAGAAAACGCAUGGGUUAAUACCCUGUGUGGAUGACGGUACCGGAAUAAGAAGCACCGGCUAACUACGUGCCAGCCGCCGCGGUAAUUC